rnacentral:rRNA from 1 species
GCAAGUCGAACGCAUCCUUCGGGAUGAGUGGCAGACGGGUGAGUAACACGUGGGAAUCUACCUAUCUCUACGGAACAACACAUAGAAAUGUGUGCUAAUACCGUAUAAGCCCUUAGGGGGAAAGAUUUAUCGGUGAUAGAUGAGCCCGCGUUUGAUUAGCUAGUUGGUGAGGUAAUGGCUCACCAAGGCGACGAUCAAUAGCUGGUCUGAGAGGAUGAUC